rnacentral:rRNA from 1 species
CAUCGCUCUUUGUUACAGAAAGAUAAAGAGUCAGGCCUGCCCAGUGAAAUUUUUAACGGCCGCGGUACUCUGACCGUGCAAAGGUAGCAUAAUCAUUUGCCUUAUAAUUGAAGGCUAGUAUGAAUGGUCUAACGAAAGUAAUUCUGUCUCUCUUUUAAUCUAUAGAAUUUGACUUCUGAGUGAAAAGGCUCAGUUAAGAUUAAAGGACAAGAAGACCCUGUCGAGCUUGAAAAGAAAGCAGACUUAAGAUAUAGUUUAAAUUAUAAUCUGAUGAUAUUUUUAGUUGGGGCGACUACGGAACAAAAAAAGCUUCCGCAAUACUCUUUAACCUAUAAGUUUUGAUCCAAUAAAUUGAUCGGAAGAAUUAGCUACCGCAGGGAUAACAGCAUUAUCUCCUUAAAGAGAUCAAAUCGAAAAGGGGGGUUGUGACCUCGAUGUUGGACUAGAGUAUCCUAAAGAUGCAGAAGUCUUUAUAGGCUGGUCUGUUCGACCAUUAAAACUCUAC